GGUAGCAAUUACCUCAGCUAGGAGAAUUGGGGAGAUCCAAGCCCUUUCCUCUUUGCCAGAAUUCACAAUUUUUCAUCAGGACAUGACUGUGCUGCAUUCUAAACCUUUUUUCCCCAAACGUUCUAUCAAGAAAAUCUCUGAAUGAACCUCUGGUGCUGCCAUCAUUCUAUAGUUCGGGAAGAUCAGAUAAAGAACGGACGUGGCAUAACCUGAAUGUGCGUAGAACACUUUAUCCCGUACUUAUCCCGUUCUGAAGAAUUUAGGUCUUUGGAUCACCUUUAUCAGUUUAAUUUUCACAGAAAAAAGAAGGGUGUGGGAGCAUCUAAACCCACUCUGGCGAGGUGGUUAACAGACUCAAAUUGGCCUAUGAAUUGCACAUUGUUAAAUUACCUUCCUUUAUUAGAGCACACUCAGAGCCAUGUCCACAUCAUGCGCUGAAAAAACCAACGUGCCUCCUGAAGAUGUCUGCAAAGCGGCAACAUGGUCCUCUUUUCAUACCUUCAUUAAGCACUAUUAGACAUCUCAUCCUCUGAGGCUGCUUUUGGGUGCAAGGUGUUCAAGCAGUAGUUUGCUGAGACCCCCACCCUUUUAAUUUUUCAGGGAUCUUGUUAUAUCCCACUGGUACUGCCAUUGUUAGGAAGAACAGAUCUUACCGUAAAUUCUUUUUUCCUUAAUAUAGUGGCUGUACGAUUCCCUCCCUUUUUUUGAUAAUACGUAGUUCCCAAUUUUACAAACUAAUUGGU